rnacentral:lncRNA from 1 species
AUGGGACCAGCCCAGCCUUCUGGCAUUUGUGUUUGUGCCCUGGCAGAUGCAUGUGCUGCACCUGGAACCUCAAGCACCAGGCAUCUUCGUGAACACCCCCUUCCGACCCAAGGGACUCCCGAGAGCAGCAUCGUGAGCCUGGCUGAGGGGAGACCCAAGGACGGCCGGGACCCAGCCUCCACGCCAGGCCUACGCUGCAGAGCCCACAUCCCCGACAGCUCUGCAGGCAGACAAGUGAAGGCACUGGUCGUCCCCACCGGGGACAAGCCCCCCGUGACAGCGCCAUGUCCAGUGGGCAGGGGCUGCCUUCUCCGGUUGCUCAGGAGUGAGCAGUUCCGCUGCCCACUCUCCCCUCCCUCCACCCGCGCAUCAUUCUUGAGCUGCUGCCAUAGGAACUUGCCAGGCAGAGGGUUGGUGAAGCCUUCCCACCACUGCCUGGAUGGGCUGCAGCAGUCCCCCCGCCCGCCACCUGCUCCCCGGCACAGGCUGCACGUUAGAAUCAUGAAAUCGCUAUGUCGAAGAGAGAUCUGCACCCAGUGUUCACCGCAGCACUAUUCACAACAGCCAAGACGUGGGAACGACCUGGGUGUCCAUCGACAGAUGAAUGGAUAAAGAAAACGUGGUAUAUAUACACAAUGAAAUAUUAUUCAGCCAUAAAAAAGCAGGAAAUCCUGCCAUUUGCAAUAGCAUGGAUAAAGCUCGAGGGCAAUAUGCUAAGUUAAAUAAUCAGAGAAAGACAAAUACUGUAUGAUCUCACUUAGAUGUGGAAUCUAAAAAAGCCAAACUCAUAGAAACAGAGAGUAGACUGGCAGCUGCUAGGGGCUAGAGGAUGGGGGAAGGGAGAUGUGAGACAAAGGGAACAAACCUCCAGUUAUCAGAUGAAGGAGUCCUGGAGAUAGGAUGUCCAGCAUGGUGACCAUAGUUAACAAUACUGUAUUAUUUACUUGAAAGUUGCUAAGACAGUGUCUUAAAUGCCCUCACCACCACAACAACAAAAUAACUAUGGGAGGUGAUGGAUGUGUAAACUAAGCUUAUUGUGGUCCUCACUUUGCAGCGUAUCCAUGCACCAAAUCAUCACAUUGUACAUCUUAAACUUAUACAAUGUUAUAUGUCAAUUGUAUCUCAAUAAAGUUGGGGGGAGGGGAGGAAUCA